GUGCCUCAAACUAAUGAGUAAGGAAAACCAAUUUUGCCUUGCUAAUCGCUUGGUAGUGUUGGCUUCUAGGCAGAGGGAUGAUACUCAUCCCUUGAAGCUACAAUUUUUGGAAGGGCACAGGUCGUCCCCUUUCUUUCUGGGGGCGGGGUGGUGGUGUUGGCGUCUGGCGGAGUGAACCGGCACCUACUUUUGUGCCCGGGAAUCGAUGCUGGGUGCCAUU
rfam:Drosophila ananassae strain TSC#14024-0371.13 Ctg01_19347, whole genome shotgun sequence.